rnacentral:rRNA from 1 species
GCCUGGUUAGUACUUGGAUGGGAGACCGCCUGGGAAUACCCGGU